GACGGGAGCUGCUCCUUGAUUCAGCGGCGGACGGGUGAGUAAUGCCUAGGAAUAUGCCUGGUAGUGGGGGACACGUUCCGAAAGGAGCGCUAAUACCGCAUACGUCCUACGGGAGAAAGUGGGGGAUCUUCGGACCUCACGACUAUCAGAUGAGCCUAGGUCGGAUUAGCUAGUUGGUGAGGUAAAGGCUCACCAAGGCGACGAUCCGUAACUGGUCUGAGAGGAUGAUCAGUCACACUGGAACUGAGACACGGUCCAGACUCCUACGGGAGGCAGCAGUGGGGAAUAUUGGACAAUGGGCGAAAGCCUGAUCCAGCCAUGCCGCGUGUGUGAAGAAGGUCUUCGGAUUGUAAAGCACUUUAAGUUGGGAGGAAGGGCAGUAAGUAAAUACCUUGCCUGUUUUGACGUUACCGACAGAAUAAGCACCGGCUAACUCUGUGCCAGCAGCCGCGGUAAUACAAGAGGGUGCAAGCGUAAAUCGGAAUUACUGGGGCGUAAAGCGCGCGUAGGUGGUUCGUUAAGUUGGAUGUGAAAGCCCCGGGCUCAACCGGGGAACUGCAUCCAAAACUGGCGAGCUAGAGUAUGGUAAAGGGUGGUGGAAUUUCCUGUGUAACGGUAAA
rnacentral:rRNA from 1 species